rnacentral:sRNA from 1 species
UAACAAAUGCUCACGAUUGACUUCCACA